GCCACCGAACAAAGUGCCAUGCAUGGUUGUGCCCAAUCUCGUCAGAUCUUGGAAGCUAAAGCAGGGUUGUGUCUGGUUAGUAUUUAGAUGGAAGCCUGCCUGGUAAUAUCAAAUACCAGAUGUUU
rnacentral:rRNA from 1 species